UACGGAGGGUGCAAGCGUUAUCCGGAUUCACUGGGUUUAAAGGGUGCGUAGGCGGGUAAGUAAGUCCGUGGUGAAAUCUCUGAGCUUAACUCAGAAACUGCCGUGGAUACUAUUUGCCUUGAAUAUUGUGGAGGUGAGCGGAAUAUGUCAUGUAGCGGUGAAAUGCUUAGAUAUGACAUAGAACACCAAUUGCGAAGGCAGCUCACUGGGCUGUAACUGACGCUGAGGCACGAAAGUGUGGGGAUCAAACAGG
rnacentral:rRNA from 1 species